rfam:Gossypium raimondii Chr01_contig_21, whole genome shotgun sequence.
UUUUAAAAAUUUCAUUCAUUUCUAUUAUUAAAAAUUGGGGUGGCUAACAGAACAAUCAAAUAGUUUUACAUGGCAUGAGAUGUGUACCUCAUUCUGGCAUAUAUGAACAAAUUUUUAACAAUAAAAAUAAAUGACAUCUUUAACA